rnacentral:lncRNA from 1 species
UAACGUAGACAUUGAUGCUUUACUUCUUCUGAAACACACAUCCAAUAGCAGAAGGCAGCAUAUACCAUAUAUGUUUGUCUUUUGACCGAAAUGGUAUAUCAUAGGGGAAUAUCAACUUUGGAAGCUCUUCACAAUAUCCUGCAGUUUUUAUUACCUGGUGGCUUCUACUGCCCGCUUCGUGCACCUUAUGAAAAUUCAGGUGUUAGCAGAACGUGAGCAGAAAAUUCAAACUGAGGUGAAAGAAAUACGCAAGGUGUUCUAUUGUGAUCUUUGCAACAAGCAAUACAAAUUGGCUGUGGAAUUUGAAGCCCAUCUGAGCUCAUAUGAUCACAACCAUAGAAAGGUAAAUAAUGUAUUUUCCUGUGGUGUAACGUUUGGUCUAUACUCUGCUCUUGUCUAAAUCUGCAACAUUGUUGGACGAGGAUUGCAGCGUUUUAAAGAAAUGAGAGAAAUGCAUGGUACUAGCAGUCGGGAUGAUCGGCAAAAACGAGAACAACAACGUCAGGAGAGGGAGAUGGCUAAAUUUGCUCAAAUGUAAAUAUUUUCCCUUGCCUUUAUUUCAUCUGUCUGUUCUUUUAUUUAUUUCAUUUUUAUUUUAAGUUUUGCUUAAUUCUUUUUAUUUCAUCUUACUUUUCUAUUCGUCUUUGCCUCUUAGGGCUGAUGCCCAUAAACAGCAGCAGGAACAAAAGCAGCGGCAGCAGGAUCAACAACAACAAGACGAAGAAUCUGGGUCUGUUUCAGUCCCCACUGCACCUGGAACUACUACAGCUCUUGCCAAUCAGGAUCAGCGCAAGGCGUUAAAAUUCGGUUUCUCUUCUAAAGGUGGCACUUCCAAGGUACAUCUAACUUCAGAAUUCUGAGUUGAUUCAUUGCAACUUUAGGUCCUCGUGGAUUCUCCCAUUAGAAAAUUACUGAGGAUGAUUUGAAAGAAUCUGAGUUGUGUCGAAGCAGUUGUCGUACAUAUACAUGCUUGUAUGCAUGUGCUGUUGAAUACCAGAUUCAUCUAACCCGUGAACCUUAGGAUUUGUGGACAUAAUUAAAUGUCAAAGCUCUCCCUUAUAUUAUAGCUUCGCUAAAUGGGUGAUUAAAUUCUUUGUAACAUAUGUGAAUUUGUGGAUGAGUCUAGGUGGUGCUAAGUAAGGUUUUGUUCCUCUCGUCUUUGUUGAGGCAUCUUUUUUGUUUAUCUGACAGUUCAUGUGAUGCAUGUAUAGUGCUUUUUUCUGCUUUUAGAUCUUUCUUGAGAACUGUCUUUGGUUCACAGCAAUUUUCUUUGAGCUGUAGAGUAUGCUGUAGAGUAUUCUGAUACAGUUCCUUAAUGGUUCAGUCAUGUCUGUCAUUGCCAUCAUACCUUUUUGGUUCCAAAGUUGUCAUCACUACAUAUGCCAUAAACCCCUUAUCAGCCACUGUAGUGCAUGGUGAAGAAGCAUGCCUGCCUCUGCAUUAAAUUCACUUUAUUUGAGUUUUAUGAUGGGGUGUUUUCCCAUUCUCAUGUAUACAACUUUUAGUAGUUGGGGCUGUAGUACUGCCAGCCAUAAAACUCGUGGAGAUAAAGAUAACUUCUCUGGAUUUGUUUAGCGGUGAGAUAAGUACGAUGCAUUCAAGUCAAACCUGAUAUUGGAUGUAUCAAGAGACCAUGACUGUACUUGUGAAAUGAAUUGCUGUCUAAUACUUCAAUUAUGUGACGGCUCUAGUACUAGUUAUAUAGGAGUGUAGUAUUUCAUUCUCUCAGUCUCAAGCUGUGGGGAACCCAUCUGCAUCCAUUUGAAUGUACAAGGUCUAAAAACUUCAACCACAAAUCCUUUGCAUGAUCAAAAUCAGCUUUUGUUUUUAGAACUCAUGGUUCUCUCAGUGAUACUAUUUCUUUCAAUCAUGUGUUUAACUUUCUUGCUUCUUCUGAUGCACUUGCCCAUUAAAACCAAUUUUGGUGAAUAGAACUCACAACUCUUUUGGGGAUAUUAUGUCUUCAUACUCUUCUGAUUUUCUUUGCUUCUUGUGCAGAACACAACUGGAAGUGCUGCAAAGAAGCCAAAAGUAGCUGUUGCUUCAGUGUUCGGCCAUGAUAGUGAUGAAGAACAGUGAAAAUCAAUCCCCAUGCCUGCUUACCAGGCACCAGCAAUGUAUUUUACGUAGUCUCCCAUAAAUUUUUGUUGUCUAUGUAAUAUGUCACCAUUGCCCAUUGUAUGAUGUUGUUAGUUCAAAGUGGCUAAGAUAAUAUACAUCACUAUUUUUAUUUUCUUGUUUGUUUAUGCUGAUGAGUUUACCUAUUCUGUAGCCUUUAAAGAAUCACUAAUUGUUUUCAACACUAUCAAAUUCUUCAUGCCCCUUAAAAUCGAGCCAAUUGCGCCCGGUACACCUCCAUACUUCAAAAAUUAUCUCAAUACCCUAAAAUAUGUUUUUACCAAAAUUUUCAUCGAUACCCUUUAAAAACUGAUAGGAAAUUAUUAAACUAUCCUCAUUUUAAAACAUUUUAACUCAACAGACAACACCUCUCCCUUCUCUACUGAAGCAAACAAACACUCAUCUGCUGCAAUUCCCUCCAUUAUCAAACUCAAACAAACAAAUACUGCAAUUCCCUCACCGACAUCACCUUUGCAAUUCCCUCAUCGGCAUCACCUCUACCGAAGCAAACAUUCAUUCUCCAUACAUGGUAAAUCGAACUUUAACACGAGCAAACUAAGCCUGAGAAGGGGAAGCUGCCACAACUGAGAAAGUGAAGCAUAGUUCGUCCCUACAUAAUCGCGGGAGAGAGUUGAUCAUUUACUGUAAAAUUGUCAGAAUGUAACUAGUUGAGACAAGUAAUUCCGUGUAAUUAGUUUUCUUGUUAAUAUUCAAGGGAAAAAAAUAAAAAGUUAGGGUUUUAUAUUGAAAAAAUAGAUUAAUUAGUUGUGGGUCUCUCAUAACAUGUUCGAAAACAAAUUUCUACUUGUUUUGCUGCAUGCAAAUUGUGAAAAAUUAAUGAAUUGUGCUUAUUAUAAUUUUGUUAUGUAACAUAAGAUUUGGUCGUGUAAGGUUAUGUAAGAUUCAAGGUUGUGUAUUACACGACCUUCAUGUAUUGCACGAUUAUACGACCUUCAUGUAUUGCACGAUUACAUGACCUUCAUGUAUUGCACGUUUACACGACCUUCAUGUAUUGCAUGUUUAUAUGACCUUCAUGUAUUAUACAAUUACACGAUCUUCUUGUAUUACACAAUUACACGACCUUCAAUUCCACAUUUUGUUUCUUGUCAAUAGAAUCUAUACAUUACAUUCAGUUUAAUUAGGCUCACAAUAAAUUGGAAUGCUGCAUAUACCUUUACCUUGUGAAAUGUCAUUAGUUAGAGAGAUUCUUAAUUUUCAAUUAUAAGUCAUGGUAAGUCAUGAUAUGUCUAGUUAUGAGUGGAAAUAUUUUAUCACUGUGAAUGGUGUUCUUAUUUGUAUAACAUUACAUUAAUUUCCUAUGGUUGAUAUUUUUGUUUCUUAAUUGAUUUCAUGGAUUAAUUAUAUGUAGACAUUCCUCAUGUAUGCUUGUAUGCUUGGCCAGAGGAAGAAAGCACUUUGAAGAUAAAAAAAAAAAAAAACUUUUUAAAUGGCUGUAAUAUGUUUAAUUACGACUUUAAAAUUACACGAAUUUUUCCAUUAAUCAUUAAAUUAAUUUAGUUCUUUAAAGACUUAAUUUGUGCUAAGAAUUUAUAUUUGCUGCUAUGGAGAAAAUGUCAACGAAAAUUAUUAAAAAAAAGAAGUGAAAUUAAAUUGGAAUCUAAAAAAAUUUCACAUCAUCAUUGGUUUGAAUUGUAACUGGUGGCAUAGGAUCAGAUGUCUUAAGUUUGAACUUCAUUGUGAUUUCGAAUUCCGAAGUAUCUAUAUCAAUAACUUCAGCUAUCUUCUCCACCAAUUCGGCAUAUGUUGUCGAUCGUGGUAUCAUUAUCCCUUUAGCCUUUGAACCUUUGAACUUAUACUCGUCAUUUUGCUCAAUUCAUUCACCAUUGAAGAGAAUAGGCACACGUACCAAAACCAUAUAUGAUGAUACAAUAAAAACAAUAAUAUUAAAUUUCAUAUAUAAGUAACUACACGACCUACAUGACCUAUACGACUAUAUUACUUACACGACUUACAGGACUAUAUUUCUUACAUGACCUACACGACUAUAUUUCUUACAUGACCUACACGACUUACAUGACUAUAUUACUUACACGACCUACAUGACUAACUAUAUGACGUACACGGUAUCAAAAGAAUGCACGACUCGAAACAUUUUCGCCAUAAAUAAGUUAUAAACAUGCUCUCCAUAAUUAAACAACCUACAUUGCAUAUAUUUCUACGUAUAAGGAAAAAUGGUGAAAAUAAAACAUUGUAAUGUGAGGAAAAUUUCUAAAUUUUCCUAAAAAUUAAAAAAUUUAAAACCCAACAACAUUAACAUACCUUAUUGGGUUGUUUAAUAAGCAAUGCACCUUUAAAGAAAGAGUGGGUGUUAAAGAAAUGAAAAUAUAAUUGUAUUUGUAUAAGAAGUUAUGAGAGAUUUUGAGAGAUUCUAAGAGAUUUUGAAAGAAUCGGCAGCAAAAAUGAAUUUGGGUGAAAGAAAUAUGAAGAUAAUUCAUUGAGUGAAUUUGAUGCAUUCAUUAAGGGUAUUUCCGACUUUGCUCACAUUUGUUAGGGUAUCCAUGAAAACAAAAAAGGGAGGGGGUAUUUAAAUAAUUUUGAAACUAUUAAAGGGUAUUUAAUUAAAAACCCCCUUAAAAUCCGUUCGUAUCUAGUUACGGUGCAACAGGUGCACCGUGCGCUCUUUUCGUCUUUCUGUGCUUACGCCAUUGGAUCAGAUGCAAUAGUUUCAAUGGCGUGGUUGUGUUUAUUUGUUUAUUAAUAAUGCAGUCCAUAUUAUUUGUUGAAAAUUUAGAAAAGUUGAGGGCUUAUUCACUAUUAUUUUUGAAUUUGUAUUUUCUGAAAACAAAAAUGAGAAGAAAAAGGUAUUUUGUAGUUGUUGUAUGUCAAAUUUAAGUAUGUGUCUGAUAUUAUUUUUUGUAUGUUAUAUUUUAAAAUUGAAAAUAGUAAUAUGUGUUUGUUAAGCAUAAUUGAAAAUGAUAAAAAUAAAGAAUUAAUGUUCGGUAGUACUAUUUUAAAAAAUAAUUUUUACUAAACAUUUAAGUUAUACUUAGAAAAUAAUUGCUUAACUAAUACGUACACAAUCAUAACAUAGAUAAUUUAAACAAAACAAUUAUAAAAAAUUACAUCAUAAUAAAGUUUUAGUAUUAACAUUAAAAAAAAGAUUACAUUGUUAUUGUUUUUACACUAUAAUUAAUAUAUAUUACAACAUAGACAACAAAUUGAAGUUUUGAAACAAUGAAAAAUUAUAUUGUCAUUGUUUUUACACUAUAAACAUGACACUAGUGACUAGACAGUAUAGCCAUGCUAUGCUAAUAAAAUUUGGAGUGACAGACAACAAACUGAAAAUAUGCUUUGUUAACAAAAUGGCAUUUGCAAAUGAAACCACUAUCAUGGCAAUGACAAUCUUAAGAGAACAAAAUCAUAUUUACAAAAUAAAAAAUAAUUACUAAAAAUUUACUCGAAUAAAAUAAAUACCAGCAACUCGCAAUAAUAAGGACAGAGCCAAGAGAGCAGCAACAACAGAGGCAGUUAAGAUCGAGCAAUAGUGGUUAAGGCAGAGACAGAGCAGCAGCUGCGUGCAAAGAUGAAGCAGCAGCAGUGGCAGAGAGGGAGCAACAGCAGUGGCCUAGAUGAAGCAGUAGUGGCAGUGGAGACAGAGUACAACAAUUGAUAUGGGCACACUGAGAGAGAAUAGAUCGGGAGAGAUAAGAAGAAAGAGAGAGAGCGUUGUUGGAUGAAAAAUGAAAAGACAAGGAUCGAAGAGGUAAGGAAAGAUUUUUUUUUUAAUUUUUUUUUGUAAUAUGUGUUAUAAAAGUGAAUUUGAAUUUAUUGUUUUAUAAUUUAUUUUUUUGAAUUCAACCCACUAAACAUGCAUUAUAUUUGUACUUUUUAAAACGAAAAUGAAAACAAAAUCCCAAAAAUGGUACCGAAUAUGCCCUAAAGUUUUCAAGAUUUUGUGCCAACAUCUUUCUUCAUAAAUUCUCUCAGCAAGAAUUACUAAUCAUCAUCAUUGUGUUACAGUAUCCACUUGCACAAGUUAUAAUCAAGAGAGAUGAAUCAUGUUAGAUUCAUCAACAAAGACAAUAGAAAAUAAGAUGGAUUUUGAAUUUUUGUUAAAGCUCUUAAUUUUGAUCAUUUGUUAACAUAGUAGAGAGGAGUUUCAUUGAUGAUGAUGAUGAUGAACCAAUUUUUAGACUGUUCAACGAGAAAAAGACACAUAACAAAAAAUUAAAAAAAGAAAUUCUACUUAUUUACACCCGAAUUUCAUUGUAGAUGAUGAAUAGAGUGUUG